rnacentral:rRNA from 1 species
AUUGAACGCUGGCGGCAUGCCUUACACAUGCAAGUCGAACGGUAACGGGCCUUCGGGUGCCGACGAGUGGCGAACGGGUGAGUAAUACAUCGGAACGUGCCCGAUCGUGGGGGAUAACGAGGCGAAAGCUUUGCUAAUACCGCAUACGAUCUACGGAUGAAAGCAGGGGACCGCAAGGCCUUGCGCGGACGGAGCGGCCGAUGGCAGAUUAGGUAGUUGGUGGGAUAAAAGCUUACCAAGCCGACGAUCUGUAGCUGGUCUGAGAGGAUGAUCAGCCACACUGGGACUGAGACACGGCCCAGACUCCUACGGGAGGCAGCAGUGGGGAAUUUUGGACAAUGGGCGCAAGCCUGAUCCAGCCAAGCCGCGUGCAGGAUGAAGGCCUUCGGGUUGUAAACUGCUUUUGUACGGAACGAAAAGCCUUCUUUUAAUACAGGAGGGUCAUGACGGUACCGUAAGAAUAAGCACCGGCUAACUACGUG